CAUUUGUACUAAUCAGAUUGCUCUUUUUUUUUUUUCGCAUGUUUCAGGUAAGUCCGGUUGCGGGAUACGAGCACGAGCGAGUCGAUCAAUUAUCGUUAUUCUGAUUAGCGGCUGAUCGUCGCUGAACGUAACGAUAAUUAAUUAUCCGAUAUGGCCACCGACGUGGUGUUUUGGGAUGCGAUUUCCCAAUGGACGCGGUCAUAUUAACACGAAAUGGUAACAUUCCCGCCAACGACGGAGGGUCACUGUUCAUCGACAAUCGAAUGGACGUUCGUCGAUGAUCGUCGUAGAAUUAAAUGCCGUGACAGUAUCCCAUUUCACGGCUCGAGACCGCUCGUAAAUAAACGAUUCAUUGUUAGCAGUCGGAUAUGACUCGGACGAAAAUGGCGAACUACACAAUUUGUCAACGCGACGCCGACGACUGCACGACACGACUAUGUGCUCCGACUAUGUGUAACUUUAUUACUGUUCUUGGAGUUCUCCAGAUGACCAUAAACCGGAAAUGGAUUCUGGUAUUGUCCUGGCGAAUGUGAUGUUCAAUAUACGGAAGCUCCAGCUAGACAUCCAUAACAAUAGCAACGGUGAAAUUCAAUGAGAAUAUGUUUUUAUGUAAACUGAUCGUAUUAUUUGCUGUACAAAAAGGUAUAAAAAUGAUUUAUCAUGGCUAAAGAUUAAAAAUUAAACAAAAAUUUAUUACAAUACAGAAAACUGUAUGGAAUCUUUUAAUAGUUGUCAAAUGUGUGAUUAUUAAAAUUAAAUGUCAAAUACUGAAGACUUAC